rnacentral:lncRNA from 1 species
AUUAUAAAAAAAUCCUAUGUUAAAAUCUACUUUUUACUUUUCCUCCUAUCAAUUAAAAAUUUAUACUUUUGGGACCCGUCAUUCCGUUAAAAUUUCACUUAUAUUUUAUUAUUAUAUACUUUUUUAUACCUAAAGUAUUUUAAAAUUUUCAUCUCAAAUCUUCUCUCCUCACCAACUUCCUUGGCCGCGUCGUCUUGCUCUCACCCAUCCCUUUGUCCGUGCCUAUACACACGCCCUCAUGCUCUUCUGCGGACUUGCUCUUGCUAACCUCUCCGUCCAUGACUAUCCCGAUCUC